AGAUCCCGUAGUUUUGAACGAAUCUCUGCCUCGCCCUUCUUGUCCCCUCUCCAUCACCGCCCUGGCGUUGGGAGAGAAGGGGGAGGGGAGGAAAGGGAACCACCAAGCCAGAGGUGCGGUUAGACAACUGUCUUGUCCGGUAACUUUAAUUCCAACCUUCUCACCUCCUGAAAACCUGCUAUUUUACUGGUUAACGUUUUUUUGUUUUUGUUUUUUUAUUACCAUAGUGUGGGAAAAAAGAAGGUUCGGUUCUGUCUUGGAGUGUGUCAAAAUAGAGUUCCUAAGGCACAAUACAGAAUUUUUGAGUUUGUUUUGCAUAAACUUAUUUAGCCAAAGGAAAUACUCAGGCACCUCCAAAAAUGUACUUGAGCUAUUGCUAAAAUAUUUAGAAAACUUUUUAAGUCUUAUUUUCCUUUUUUUUCCCAAAAAGAAUGGAAAAAUGAAAGAUUUCAAGUUUUAAUGUAUUCUUGAAGGAUUGAGAGCCCUAGUUAAUACAAAAGACCUGCCAUACAGGUAGAAUCCAGUUUCAACAUACAUAUUAAGAAUCCAGUUUUAUAUAGGAGGCGUUUUCCACAUCCUGGCUGGCCUCCCAGAGUAUGCCUACUUUGCUGAUGGGGAUACAAGGCAUUCUUUGAGAUGGGAAAUUCUUCAAACCACAUCUUUAUGUUGCAGUGAUGGAUAGGAUGAUGAUAAUAUUGAAAGAAAAAGACCUUAUUAAAGUACAGAACCUGUUGUUUUUUUUUAAAACCUGCAAAAAUAAAAAUGAGUAAUGUCAUAAUGGAAUAUAUAUCAUUAAAGUUAAAUUUCUUCACGUUAGUGACAGGAUCUGUCUGGAGUGUUUGAAUUGUUAUUUCAAAUUAGUAAACCUGCUUGCUUCCUCAAUUUCUUCUUUAACUGAAGAAAUCACUGCUGAACAUUUCUCUUUGUUUUUAUAAUCGUGAGAGUUUUUUUUCUUUUCUUU
rnacentral:lncRNA from 1 species